CUAUUCAGAACACAGCAGAAGUUUUAGCAACACCAUGUCUACCAGCCGUGCAGUUUUGGUCAUUUGCAUGUUCCUCUUGGCCUCGUCAACUCAUCUGCAAGCUGCUAGGGUGUUUGCAAGAAAUGAUCAUCGUGUUCAUGACAAGAAGGGUUCCGUCGUUUCUACUAGUAGCGCCACAGAUAGUGCUACUCCAUGCUUGCAUGAUGCACAGGUAUCGGCAUUGGCACCACCAGCCAAUGAACCGGCUGACAUUGCCAGCGAUGGACAUGGUCGAGUUCUAUGGUCGACCCCAAGUGACGGUGUUGGCCAUUAGCCAUAUGUUAACUUGAAACACAGUGGUUUUGCGUAUCCCUCUAGCUAAUGUCAUUGUUAUACACUUUGGAUCAUAUAGGCCCUGACUCCAUAUGUUUGUGACAAUUGUAGACACAAUAAUCUUCAAAACGUGUUCUUAUGUAUUUACCACAGUAGGAGCUAGUGGUCAAGAAAAUCAUGCAAUUUGUUCUUUUGUUUCAUAUGGACCUUGUAGAUUGUUUUCUGAUAUACUGGUAUGCGGUUUGUGUGUUUGUAGCUGUUCUGAUGGUGAUGUACAACUUAGAACAUGUAUGUUGAUCUGUUUCAACUACAGUUGAUGGGAAUAAUAAAUACCUUUUCUUUUC
rnacentral:lncRNA from 1 species